AUAUUGGGCAAUGGAGGCAACUCUGACCCAGCCAUGCCGCGUGCAGGAAGAAGGCCUUCUGGGUUGUAAACUGCUUUUGGAAGGGAACAAAACGGCUCUGCGGAGCAACUUGAGUGUACCUUCAGAAUAAGCACCGGCUAACUCCGUGCCAGCAGCCGCGGUAAUACGGAGGGUGCAAGCGUUGUCCGGAUUUAUUGGGUUUAAAGGGUGCGUAGGCGGGAGAUUAAGUCAGGGGUGAAAGACUGCAGCUCAACUGUAGCAGUGCCUUUGAUACUGAUUUUCUUGAGUACAGAUGAGGCUGGCGGAAUGGGUGGUGUAGCGGUGAAAUGCAUAGAUACCAUCCAGAACACCGAUUGCGAAGGCAGCCGGCUAAACUGUUACUGACGCUGAGGCACGAAAGCGUGGGGAUCGAAC
rnacentral:rRNA from 1 species